GACGAACGCUGGCGGCGUGCUUAACACAUGCAAGUCGAACGGAAAGGCCCUGCUUUCGUGGGGUGCUCGAGUGGCGAACGGGUGAGUAACACGUGAGUAACCUGCCCUUGACUUUGGGAUAACUUCAGGAAACUGGGGCUAAUACCGGAUAGGAGCUCCUGCGGCAUGGUGGGGGUUGGAAAGUUUCGGCGGUUGGGGAUGGACUAGCGGCUUAUCAGCUUGUUGGUGGGGUAGUGGCUUACCAAGGCUUUGACGGGUAGCCGGCCUGAGAGGGUGACCGGCCACAUUGGGACUGAGAUACGGCCCAGACUCCUACGGGAGGCAGCAGUGGGGAAUAUUACACAAUGGGCGGAAGCCUGAUGCAGCAACGCCGCGUGCGGGAUGACGGCCUUCGGGUUAUAAACCGCUUUCGCCUGUGACGAAGCGUGAGUGACGGUAAUGGGUAAAGAAGCACCGGCUAACUACGUG
rnacentral:rRNA from 1 species